AUUGAACGCUGGCGGCAGGCCUAACACAUGCAAGUCGAGCGAGCGGCGGACGGGUGAGUAAUGUCUGGGAAACUGCCUGAUGGAGGGGGAUAACUACUGGAAACGGUAGCUAAUACCGCAUACCAUCAGAUGUGCCCAGAUGGGAUGAGCUAGUAGGUGGGGUAACGGCUCACCUAGGCGACAAUCCCUAGCUGGUAUGCGAGGAUGACCAACCACACUGGAACUGAGACACGGUCCAGACUCCUACGGUGUGCAGCAUUGAGGAAUAUUGCACAAUGGGCGCAAGCCUGAUGCAGCCAUGCCGCGUGUGUGAAGAAGGCCUUCGGGUUGUAAAGCACUUUCAGCGGGGAGGCGUUACCCGCAGAAGAAGCACCGGCUAACUCCGUGCCAGCCGCCGCGGUAAUUC
rnacentral:rRNA from 1 species